UACGUAGGUGGCAAGCGUUGUCCGGAUUUAUUGGGUUUAAAGGGUGCGUAGGCGGCUUUGUAAGUCAGUGGUGAAAUAUGGCAGCUCAACUGUCAGGGUGCCAUUGAUACUGCGGAGCUUGAGUACAGAUGAGGUAGGCGGAAUUGACGGUGUAGCAGUGAAAUGCUUAGAUAUCGUCAAGAACACCGAUAGCGAAGGCAGCUUACUGGGCUGUAACUGACGCUGAGGCACGAAAGUGUGGGGAUCAAACAGG
rnacentral:rRNA from 1 species